AGUGAACGCUGGCGGUAGGCCUAACACAUGCAAGUCGAACGGCAGCGCAGUAAGAGCUUGCUCUUACGGGUGGCGAGUGGCGGACGGGUGAGGAAUACAUCGGAAUCUACUUUUUCGUGAGGGAUAACGUAGGGAAACUUACGCUAAUACCGCAUACGACCUACGGGUGAAAGCAGGGGAUCUUCGGACCUUGCGCGAUUGAAUGAGCCGAUGUCGGAUUAGCUAGUUGGCGGGGUAAAGGCCCACCAAGGCGACGAUCCGUAGCUGGUCUGAGAGGAUGAUCAGCCACACUGGAACUGAGACACGGCCCAGACUCCUACGGGAGGCAGCAGUGGGGAAUAUUGGACAAUGGGCGCAAGCCUGAUCCAGCCAUACCGCGUGGGUGAAGAAGGCCUUCGGGUUGUAAAGCCCUUUUGUUGGGAAAGAAAAGCAGCAGGUUAAUACCCCGCUGUUCUGACGGUACCCAAAGAAUAAGCACCGGCUAACUUCGUG
rnacentral:rRNA from 1 species